UCUGAUGGGUGUAACUGGCGACACGUGGUCAACCACGAAGGAGCUCACAUUCAUAUCGCCGUUCGCCUGAGCAAAGUAU
rnacentral:ncRNA from 14 species